rnacentral:rRNA from 1 species
UGCAAGUCGAGCGAACCCUUCGGGGUGAGCGGCGGACGGGUGAGUAACGCGUGGGUAACCUGCCCUGUACACACGGAUAACAUACCGAAAGGUAUACUAAUACGAGAUGAUAUAUAAAAGUUGCAUGACUUUUAUAUCAAAGCUUUUGCGGUACAGGAUGGACCCGCGUCUGAUUAGCUAGUUGGUAAGGUAACGGCUUACCAAGGCGACGAUCAGUAGCCGACCUGAGAGGGUGAUCGGCCACACUGGAACUGAGACACGGUCCAGGCUCCUACGGGAGGCAGCAGUGGGGAAUAUUGCACAAUGGGCGAAAGCCUGAUGCAGCAACGCCGCGUGAGCGAUGAAGGCCUUCGGGUCGUAAAGCUCUGUCCUUAAGGAAGAUAAUGACGGUACUUGAGGAGGAAGCCCCGGCUAACUACGUGCCAGCAGCCGCGGUAAUACGUAGGGGGCUAGCGUUAUCCGGAAUUACUGGGCGUAAAGGGUGCGUAGGCGGUCUUUCAAGCCAGAAGUGAAAGGCUACGGCUCAACCGUAGUAAGCUUUUGGAACUGUAAGACUUGAGUGCAGGAGAGGAGAGUGGAAUUCCUAGUGUAGCGGUGAAAUGCGUAGAUAUUAGGAGGAACACCAGUAGCGAAGGCGGCUCUCUGGACUGUAACUGACGCUGAGGCACGAAAGCGUGGGGAGCAAACAGGAUUAGAUACCCUGGUAGUCCACGCCGUAAACGAUGAGUACUAGGUGUCGGGGGUUACCCCCCUCGGUGCCGCAGCUAACGCAUUAAGUACUCCGCCUGGGAAGUACGCUCGCAAGAGUGAAACUCAAAGGAAUUGACGGGGACCCGCACAAGUAGCGGAGCAUGUGGUUUAAUUCGAAGCAACGCGAAGAACCUUACCUAAGCUUGACAUCCUAUUGACCUCUCCCUAAUCGGAGAUUUCCCUUCGGGGACAGUGGUGACAGGUGGUGCAUGGUUGUCGUCAGCUCGUGUCGUGAGAUGUUGGGUUAAGUCCCGCAACGAGCGCAACCCUUGCCUUUAGUUGCCAGCAUUAAGUUGGGCACUCUAGAGGGACUGCCGAGGAUAACUCGGAGGAAGGUGGGGAUGACGUCAAAUCAUCAUGCCCCUUAUGCUUAGGGCUACACACGUGCUACAAUGGGUGGUACAGAGGGUUGCCAAACCGUGAGGUGGAGCUAAUCCCUUAAAGCCAUUCUCAGUUCGGAUUGUAGGCUGAAACUCGCCUACAUGAAGCUGGAGUUACUAGUAAUCGCAGAUCAGAAUGCUGCGGUGAAUGCGUUCCCGGGUCUUGUACACACCGCCCGUCACACCAUGGGAGUUGGGGGCGCCCGAAGCCGGUUAGCUAACCUUUGGAAGCGGCCGUCGA